CCGGUAGGCAGCCCUUAAAAUCAGUGGCAGUGCCCUCUGGCUCUAAGCGUAGUAAUUCUUCUCGCUAUAGGGUCCGGAGGUGCUCGCGCCAGAACCCCCAAUUUUCUAUGGUUGACCUCGGAUCAGGUAGGGAUACCCGCUGAACUUAAGCAUAUCAAUAAGCGGAGGAAAAGAAACCAACAGGGAUUGCCUCAGUAACGGCGAGUGAAGCGGCAACAGCUCAAAUUUGAAAUCUGGCUCUUUUAGGGUCCGAGUUGUAAUUUGUAGAAGAUGCUUUGGGUGUGGCUCCGGUCUAAGUUCCUUGGAACAGGACGUCAUAGAGGGUGAGAAUCCCGUAUGUGACUGGUAGUCCGCGCCCGUGUAAAGCUCUUUCGACGAGUCGAGUUGUUUGGGAAUGCAGCUCAAAAUGGGUGGUAAAUUUCAUCUAAAGCUAAAUAUUGGCCAGAGACCGAUAGCGCACAAGUAGAGUGAUCGAAAGAUGAAAAGCACUUUGGAAAGAGAGUUAAACAGUACGUGAAAUUGUUGAAAGGGAAGCGCUUGCAAUCAGACUUGCGCGCGGUUGAUCAUCCGGUGUUCUCACCGGUGCACUCUACCGUGCUCAGGCCAGCAUCGGUUUCGGUGGUUGGAUAAAGGCCUUGGGAACGUAGCUCCUCUCGGGGAGUGUUAUAGACCUCGGUGCAAUGCAGCCUACCGGGACCGAGGACCGCGCUUCGGCUAGGAUGCUGGCGUAAUGGUUGUAAGCGACC
rnacentral:rRNA from 1 species